rnacentral:rRNA from 1 species
AGUCUUAGUUCGGAUUGUAGGCUGCAACUCGCCUACAUGAAGUCGGAAUUGCUAGUAAUCGCGGAUCAGCAUGCCGCGGUGAAUACGUUCCCGGGCCUUGUACACACCGCUCGUCACACCAUGGGAGCCGGGGGUGCCUGAAGUUCGUGACCGCAAGGAGCGACCUAGGGCAAAACUGGUGACUGGGGCUAAGUCGUAACAAGGUAUC